GUGAUCAUCUAAAGAAAUAAGCAUUCUCCAUAUGUUUGUGAGGGGUGAGAGCUGUUAGCAAUUUUGAUUUAGUGCAAGGUAGAAACACAUUUCCAUGCUCCUGAAGCCCAAUCAGUGAGAUGAUCAGCUAUUUAGCUAAUUCUCUUUUGUUGCUCAACUGCUGCAAGGAAAUAGCCAGUGGGUGGGAGACCAGCUGAAAUGAGUCACAAAUGGCCAGUCAGUCAGAGAAAUGUAGUCAAGCGGAGUGAAGGACCUUGGUUCACUCGCUGGAAAAUGUCAACACAAACUAUGAGGUAUUGACUAAAUAAAAUGUCAGUGCAACACUGCAAAGUACAGUUGCCCAUGCUCUUCAUAAUGUGCCAUAAAAGGUCCACUUUUGAAAAGGAAUUGGAGAAGACCACUGUCAUUUUUGAAUAGGGAAAUUCCAAAAAUGUGACCAGACGAAAGGAACACCAAAAGCAAUAAAUCAAAGAGUGGCCAUAUGACACAAAUGAGCAACCCACAAUAAUACAACAAGGACAGCAAGACCUUUCUAUUUCAAAGCCACCCCCAAAAUGAAGGAAACAGAAGGAUUCAAAUGUAUUUAUGGCCACAAUAUUAUGUAUGUGGAACAGAGAUGUUUGUGACUCUGUGUGAGAGGAAGAUCAAUACCGUAAUCUAUGAAUCUUAACAUUGAGGAAUUCAGUCAUCAAGCUAUAAACUGUUUCCAAUAAACAACUUCAGAUAAUAGUGCUGGUAAAUGCACCUACUUUGGGGACAGAUAACAUAGGCAUGCAUUUCCUACAGACAAGAAAAAGAAAUAGUGAAAAAACUGGAGCUCUCUUGAGACAGAUGAACUCAAGUUGAAGUAAAUUCACUCUGUGAUUUGGAAAACAAUUGAAAACAUUCAGCAAAUCCAUUACCAAGACCUCACCAAUCAUCUCCCUCAUCAAAGAGCCCCGAAGGAAGAAGAACAAGGAGCAGAAAAUCCACCAGAACAACAUCCAGAGGAAGAAGCUAUGGGUAACAAGUUCUAUAAACUAAUAUUUGAUCAAUGUUGAUGAACUUUUGGGAGUUCUGAACAUCUUCUUCAGUGGUCUCCCUCAACUUACACCAGUAUCAGGCAGUCCCAUUUAUAAGCAACCUGUUUCAAUGAGACCUACUGUGCAGCUCUGUCACCUUUUAGCUUUGUGAAUUGACUGAAAACACGCGACAGUGAGGGGAUACAACAUUUAUCAAAAUUUUAAAUAAUCUUCUGGAGGAAAAACUCAUGCAAGAACGACUAAAUAUUUUACUGCAUAAAUGUGAGGAAAGCAAACAAAAAGGGGACUUUUCACCCAGAAAAGCUUUGAGAAUCAUACCAACUUGUAAAAUGGUAGGCAACCACAAUAAUCAAGUUAUGUCAACUUUAGACAAUGCGAACCUCCAAAUGUUCACAAUCACAGAGCAAGAUACUCUCAUUGAGCAGAAAAGACGAGUGCCUAAUCUUUAUCAAGCUAUCCCAAUAACGAUCAAUCGAA